rnacentral:rRNA from 1 species
AGUGAACGCUGGCGGUAGGCCUAACACAUGCAAGUCGAACGGCAGCACAGUAAGAGCUUGCUCUUACGGGUGGCGAGUGGCGGACGGGUGAGGAAUACAUCGGAAUCUACUUUUUCGUGGGGGAUAACGUAGGGAAACUUACGCUAAUACCGCAUACGACCUACGGGUGAAAGCAGGGGAUCUUCGGACCUUGCGCGAUUGAAUGAGCCGAUGUCGGAUUAGCUAGUUGGCGGGGUAAAGGCCCACCAAGGCGACGAUCCGUAGCUGGUCCGAGAGGAUGAUCCGCCACACUGGAACUGAGACACGGUCCAGACUCCUACGGGAGGCAGCAGUCGGGAAUAUUGGACAAUGGGCGCAAGCCUGAUCCAGCCAUACCGCGUGGGUGAAGAAGGCCUUCGGGUUGUAAAGCCCUUUUGUUGGGAAAGAAAAGCAGCAGGUUAAUACCCCGCUGUUCUGACGGUACCCAAAGAAUAAGCACCGGCUAACUUCGUG